AGUGAACGCUGGCGGUAGGCCUAACACAUGCAAGUCGAACGGCAGCACAGUAAGAGCUUGCUCUUACGGGUGGCGAGUGGCGGACGGGUGAGGAAUACAUCGGAAUCUACUUUUUCGUGGGGGAUAACGUAGGGAAACUUACGCUAAUACCGCAUACGACCUACGGGUGAAAGCAGGGGAUCUUCGGACCUUGCGCGAUUGAAUGAGCCGAUGUCGGAUUAGCUAGUUGGCGGGGUAAAGGCCCACCAAGGCGACGAUCCGUAGCUGGUCUGAGAGGAUGAUCAGCCACACUGGCAGUGAGACACGGUCCAGACUCCUACGGGAGGAAGCAGUGGGGAAUAUUGGACGAUGGGGGCAAGCCUGAUCCAGCAAUACCGCGUGGGUGAAGAAGGACUUCGGGUUGUAAAGCCCUUUUGUUGGGAAAGAAGAGCAGCAGGUUAAUACCCCGCUGUUCUGACGGUACCCAAAGAAUAAGCACCGGCUAACUUCGUG
rnacentral:rRNA from 1 species